AAAAAAGGUAAGCUACUAAGAGCGAAUGGUGGAUGCCUUGACUGGUAAAGGCGAUGAAGGACGUACUAGACUGCGAUAAGCUACGGGGAGCUGUCAAGAAGCUUUGAUCCGUAGAUUUCCGAAUGGGGCAACCCAAUGUAUAGAGAUAUACAUUACCUAUAUAGGAGCGAACGAGGGGAAUUGAAACAUCUUAGUACCCUCAGGAAAAGAAAUCAAUAGAGAUUGCGUCAGUAGCGGCGAGCGAAAGCGCAAGAGGGCAAACCCAGUGCUUGCACUGGGGGUUGUAGGACUGCAAUGUGCAAGAGGUGAGUUUAGCAGAACAUUCUGGAAAGUAUAGCCAUAGAGGGUGAUAGUCCCGUAUGCGAAAAACAAACCUUAGCUAGCAGUAUCCUGAGUAGGGCGGGACACGAGAAAUCCUGUCUGAAGCUGGGUCGACCACGAUCCAACCCUAAAUACUAAUACCAGAUCGAUAGUGCACAAGUACCGUGAGGGAAAGGUGAAAAGAACUGAGGUGAUCAGAGUGAAAUAGAACCUGAAACCAUUUGCUUACAAUCAUUCAGAGCCCUAUGUAGCAAUACAGGGUGAUGGACUGCCUUUUGCAUAAUGAGCCUGCGAGUUGUGGUGUCUGGCAAGGUUAAGCAAACGCGAAGCCGUAGCGAAAGCGAGUCUGAAUAGGGCGCUUAGUCAGAUGCUGCAGACCCGAAACGAAGUGAUCUAUCCAUGAGCAAGUUGAAGCUAGUGUAAGAACUAGUGGAGGACUGAACCCAUAGGCGUUGAAAAGCCCCGGGAUGACUUGUGGAUAGGGGUGAAAGGCCAAUCAAACUUCGUGAUAGCUGGUUCUCUCCGAAAUAUAUUUAGGUAUAGCGUUGUGUCGUAAUAUAAGGGGGUAGAGCACUGAAUGGGCUAGGGCAUACACCAAUGUACCAAACCCUAUCAAACUCCGAAUACCUUAUAUGUAAUCACAGCAGUCAGGCGGCGAGUGAUAAAAUCCGUCGUCAAGAGGGAAACAACCCAGACUACCAGCUAAGGUCCCUAAAUCUUACUUAAGUGGAAAACGAUGUGAAGUUACUUAAACAACCAGGAGGUUGGCUUAGAAGCAGCCAUCCUUUAAAGAAAGCGUAAUAGCUCACUGGUCUAGUGAUUUUGCGCGGAAAAUAUAACGGGGCUAAAGUAAGUACCGAAGCUGUAGACUUGCGCACAACUUAGAUUAUUUAAGUUUAGAAUAUGAGAAACUAAGUUAUAUGUUUAGUUAUAUUUUUACUGAUUUUUAUAGAGUAAAGAUAGAAAUAAAACUUAGUAAAAUCAGUAAAAAUAUUCUUAGACUAAAGUUAAGUAGUUUAAGUUGUGUGCAAGUGGUAGGAGAGCGUUCUAUUUGCGUCGAAGGUAUACCGGUAAGGAGUGCUGGAGCGAAUAGAAGUGAGCAUGCAGGCAUGAGUAGCGAUAAUUAAUGUGAGAAUCAUUAACGCCGUAAACCCAAGGUUUCCUACGCGAUGC
rnacentral:rRNA from 1 species